CUGGCAGUGGCACUCUCGAGGUCGAGCCCGGAAGUCUUGGAAUCUAGACCCCCGACCUCUCUUGUGCAUGUACUUAACGACGAUGGCCUUCCUUGCCCUCCAGGAUGCUAAGGAUCUCCCGUACUGUUCAGUGAGCUUGACAUCCUGUUUUGGAAUGUCAUACCCUGUUGCUUCCUGCGCAGUUUAUGUCUUGUUAUAUUUCCUUUCUUAGCAGUUUGCUUAAUUCCUAGUUUCUGCUUUUACUCUUGCGUUUGCUGACGUGUGUCCUUCAGCCCUUGUCUGUUUGUUUCCUCUUUGUUUUGGUGGGAUGAAUAUCUUUUCCAUAAAAAAAUUUAUAAUUAAAAAAAAAAAAAAAAAGCAAGAAAAAUCAAUAGGAGAGAUGCUCUGCCGCCGGCAAGUUUGAAUUGUUGCUGAUUGGUGAGCUCGUUUGAAGUUUCCACUUUCUGCAGAGAUAAAUGUACGAACCAAACUGAAACAACCACAGAUAGCAAAUGGCAGGAGGAGUGAGGAGGAUCAAGUUGGGUUCACAAGGCCUUGAGGUCUCUGCUCAAGGCCUGGGAUGUAUGGGCAUGUCUGCCUUCUAUGGCGCUCCGAAGCCCGACGCAGACAUGAUCAGUCUCAUCCACCAUGCCAUUGACUCCGGAGUCACCUUCCUCGAUACCUCUGACAUCUACGGCCCCUUCACCAACGAAAUUCUUCUUGGCAAGGCUCUGAAGGGAGGGGUAUGAGAGAAGGUUGAGUUGGCCACCAAGUUUGGUAUCAGCUUUGCUGAUAACAAGCCGGAGGUUCGAGGUGAUCCUGCAUAUGUGAGAGCUGCUAUUGAGGGUAGCUUGAAGCGCCUUGGUGUUGAUUCUGUUGAUCUCUAUUAUCAGCAUCGGAUUGAUACCCGUGUACCCAUUGAAGUCACGGUUGGGGAACUGAAGAAACUAGUUGAAGAAGGUAAGGUAAAGUACAUUGGACUAUCCGAGGCCUCUGCUUCCACAAUAAGAAGAGCACACGCUGUUCGUCCAAUAACAGCUGUGCAGUUGGAGUGGUCGUUGUGGACAAGAGAUGUGGAGGAAGAUAUAAUUCCUACUUGCCGGGAACUUGGCAUCGGCAUUGUUGCAUACAGUCCUCUAGGAAGAGGAUUCUUUUCAUCAGGAGCUAAGUUCUUUGAAAAUCUUCCCAAUGAUGAUUUCCGAAAGUAUCUACCCAGGUUCCAAGCUGAAAACCUAGAGCAUAACAAAACAAUAUUCGAGCAGGUUAGUGAUCUUGCAGCAAGGAAGGGGUGCACCCCAUCUCAGCUAGCACUGGCCUGGGUUCAUCAUCAAGGCAACGAUGUGUGUCCGAUACCCGGAACCACUAAGAUUGAGAAUUUUAACCAGAACAUUGGUGCUCUCUCUGUGAAACUGACACCAGAAGAACUGGCUGAGCUUGAAUCUUUUGCUUCUGCUGAUGCCGUUAAAGGUGGCAGAUAUCAGAAUGACUUUAGUACUUGGAAGAACUCUGAAACUCCUCCAGUGUCUUCAUGGAAAGCCACAUGAGCAUGUGCCUUUUGUCAUGCCAUAAUGCUUCGUUGUACCGCUUGAGCUUUGUAAAUUUCCUUACCGUUAUGAGAAUAAGUAGUUCAUGUGAAGUGGUAUCCAAUGACUGACUUUGAGACGUUCGUCAUUUUGUAAGCAGAUUUCAUCAUGUUGUAUGAGUAUCCAAAAGUAUGAAAUAAUCUGGGGUCAAACGAAGUUUUUCAUUUUAUUUCUUUGACUUAAA